AGAGUUUGAUCCUGGCUCAGGACGAACGCUGGCGGCGUGCCUAAUACAUGCAAGUAGAACGCUGAAGACUGGUGCUUGCACUAGUCAGAUGAGUUGCGAACGGGUGAGUAACGCGUAGGUAACCUACCUCAUAGCGGGGGAUAACUAUUGGAAACGAUAGCUAAUACCGCAUGACAAUUAAGUACUCAUGUACUAAAUUUAAAAGGAGCAAUUGCUUCACUAUGAGAUGGACCUGCGUUGUAUUAGCUAGUUGGUGAGGUAACGGCUCACCAAGGCCACGAUACAUAGCCGACCUGAGAGGGUGAUCGGCCACACUGGGACUGAGACACGGCCCAGACUCCUACGGGAGGCAGCAGUAGGGAAUCUUCGGCAAUGGGGGCAACCCUGACCGAGCAACGCCGCGUGAGUGAAGAAGGUUUUCGGAUCGUAAAGCUCUGUUGUUAGAGAAGAACGGUAAUGGGAGUGGAAAAUCCAUUACGUGACGGUAACUAACCAGAAAGGGACGGCUAACUACGUGCCAGCAGCCGCGGUAAUACGUAGGUCUCGAGCGUUGUCCGGAUUUAUUGGGCGUAAAGCGAGCGCAGGCGGUUAUUUAAGUCUGAAGUUAAAGGCCGUGGCUCAACCAUGGUUCGCUUUGGAAACUGGAUAACUUGAGUGCAGAAGGGGAGAGUGGAAUUCCAUGUGUAGCGGUGAAAUGCGUAGAUAUAUGGAGGAACACCGGUGGCGAAAGCGGCUCUCUGGUCUGUAACUGACGCUGAGGCUCGAAAGCGUGGGGAGCAAACAGGAUUAGAUACCCUGGUAGUCC
rnacentral:rRNA from 1 species